rnacentral:rRNA from 1 species
CAGGGCCAUUCAUGAUGUAACCAGUGGCGCUCGGCUUUCACAGGCGCACGGGUGCGUAACGCGUGGGAAUCUGCCCAAAGGUACGGAAUAACUCGGGGAAACUCGUGCUAAUACCGUAUGAUGUCGUAAGACCAAAGAUUUAUCGCCUUUGGAUGAGCCCGCGUUGGAUUAGCUAGUUGGUGGGGUAAAGGCCUACCAAGGCGACGAUCCAUAGCUGGUCUGAGAGGAUGAUCAGCCACACUGGGACUGAGACACGGCCCAAACUCCUACGGGAGGCAGCAGUGGGGAAUAUUGGACAAUGGGCGCAAGCCUGAUCCAGCCAUGCCGCGUGAGUGAUGACGGCCUUAGGGUUGUAAAGCUCUUUUACCUGGGAAGAUAAUGACGGUACCAGGAGAAUAAGCCCCGGCUAACUUCGUGCCAGCAGCCGCGGUAAU